CGCACAUUGCGCCCCUCGGCAUUCCGGGGGGCAUGCCUGUUCGAGCGUCAUUGCACCUCUCAAGCGUAGCUUGGUCUUGGGUCACGCCGGUUGCGGCCGACCCGAAAACGAGCGGCGGUCCUGGGGACGUCAAGCGCAGUAAAUUUUUUUCGCUCUGACCAAUCCCUCCGGGCCAGCCGGGAACCCAACAUUCCAAUAAUUGACCUCGGAUCAGGUAGGGAUACCCGCUGAACUUAA
rnacentral:misc_RNA from 1 species